AUGCAACGUCUAGGAAACCAGGCGUGCAGGUGCUGCCCCGUCCUCCUGGUUGACAGAGUCUAUGUGCAUCAGCCUCUCGGCGAAGUUGGCUCAUUUGCAGAGGGGAGCCAAGCCCGACUAGACGCCACCGCAGAAGCUGCUUGCUUUCGGCCAUUCUGGCCGCUGGAAGCUGGUGAAGCGAGGCACGCGGACGCUCAAAUUUCCCGGCAGGAGCCUCCGCCAGGUCUCGGGGAGCUCUGCAGCAGCUGCAGGCUUCGGUCCUGGAUCCUCCUCCCACCGCUGCCGCCCACCCCGCAGCGGCUGAGGGGCAUCAACCACCGCGCACAAAGCACCGGUGGCCGGACUGUUAGCCCUGCAGCUUCGACCCCGGGCGCGCUGCUCCUGCUCUGCGCAGCUGCCCCGGAUCGAGAGCCCCGCGGAGAGCACGAAUCCGCCAGCUCCUCCUAUUCCCGCCCAGCACUCGCUCAGCUCUUCUCCUGGCGACAGCCGAAGCGGAUAGGCGGAAGGGAUGGAGGGAAGGAAGCGAGUGCUCCAAGUUUGCCCCCGAACACGGAAGCUGGCCGUGGACCGAAUGUGGGCAUGGUCCAAUGAGCGCGGACAGCUCCUGCAACCUUGCCGUCCGUUGGCCAGAUGAUGUCAUAUCCCACACCCAUUCCUGUGAGCCCGCGUAAAUUCCGGGAAAGAGCCAGCUGAGCGCCAUCUCUGCAGUUCUUGCGAAUCCCAGUGUGGCCUUCGCCGGCACUUUUGGGGCAGAUUCUCCGCUUCUGUGAGUGGUUCUUCUGGUCUUGAGUUGAACGUGGAGUUCUUACGGGGUGGUUAUCAAGGGCACUGCGCAGAAGGACCUCAGGCAGGAACCAAAGGGGUUUUCGGGGGAAGGGAAGAAAGGCAGCUUUCGGUUGUGGGAAUCUCCUUUCUGCUCCCCAGCUUCGAAGUAAAACUCCCCAGAGAUUUACUCCUGGAAAGACACUUUGAGAUAGUCUUGAGGGUAGAACCUGGUAUCUUCCUCUUUUUUGUUGUGAGGAAGAUUGUCGCUGAGCUAACAUCUGUUGCCAAUCUUCCUCUUUUUGCUUGAGGAAGAUUGUCGCUGGCUAACACCUGUGCCAAUCCUCGUCUAUUUUAUGUGGGAUGCUGCCACAGCGUGGCUUGACAAGCGGUGCCAGGUCCACACUUGGGAUCGGAACCAUGGACCCUGGGCCAUGGUGGUCGAACUUAACCACUACACCACCUGGCUUCCCCAUGGUAUCUUCUUUUUUAACAAGCUCAGAGGAAGUAAUUCACAGGAAUAUUAAAAGUUUGAUCUGAACCAAAGUCCUUAAUUUACAAAUGAGGAAGCUAAGAUCCAAGAGGUGUGUAGGGAGAGAGUUUGACGUUUUGGGGUAGUUCUUUCCAGGCCUUAGGUAGUUUCCUCCAUUGUUGCUCUGAUCUGUUCUCAGCUGAAUAUUUGAAGGGAACCCUCUUCAUAUCCGGAGUUCUCUCUUUGUGCAGGUCUCUUCCUUCUGUGUCCUGUUAACUCUUGCCACCUUGGUCUCUCAGCUCUAUCUCUUCAAGUCAGGAAUCCCAGCUGACUCUUGCCGCCUCUCGGUGCGCCCUG
rnacentral:lncRNA from 1 species